GACGAACGCUGGCGGCGUGCCUAAUACAUGCAAGUCGAGCGGACCGAACAGGAGCUUGCUCUUGUUCGGUUAGCGGCGGACGGGUGAGUAACACGUGGGUAACCUGCCCGUAAGACCGGGAUAACUCCGGGAAACCGGAGCUAAUACCGGAUAACACCGAAGACCGCAUGGUCUUUGGUUGAAAGGCGGCUUCGGCUGCCACUUACGGAUGGGCCCGCGGCGCAUUAGCUAGUUGGUGAGGUAACGGCUCACCAAGGCGACGAUGCGUAGCCGGCCUGAGAGGGUGACCGGCCACACUGGGACUGAGACACGGCCCAGACUCCUACGGGAGGCAGCAGUAGGGAAUCUUCCGCAAUGGACGAAAGUCUGACGGGGCGACGCCGCGUGAGCGAAGAAGGUCUUCGGAUCGUAAAGCUCUGUUGUUAGGGAAGAAGAAGCGUCGUUCGAACAGGGCGGCGCGGUGACGGUACCUAACGAGAAAGCCCCGGCUAACUACGUG
rnacentral:rRNA from 1 species